CUCGUCGCUCGCUCUCGCACACACGCACACGCAUGCACACACACAAGCGCGCACACACACACACACACACGCACCCGCCCGCCCGCCUGCCUGCUCGGCUCCGCUUCCAAGCCGCCUCAGCAAGGAGGAGCCCGGACGGAAAACACCAGGGCAGCAAGGAUUUGGAAGUGGAGAUCCGUGAGAGUGAGCCUAGCAAUGAGUGAAGGCUUCCCUUGAAGCAGAGUCUGUUUCUUAUUCCCUAGGAGACUGAGAAGAGAGGGGACCCUGGAUGUCAGCCCAGCCUCUGGGAUUUAUUUGUCUUGAACUUUAAUGCAGAUGGCCUUUUUCAGCCCUGGAAGUUGACAGUGUCCACCCCCAGAUGUUUGCUUGCUCAACCUUCUACAGGAACUACAGAAAGUCCUGCUCAUCCUGCUUCUCCAUGAUGGCUGGAAUUGUACAGUCAAAACCCUUUACAGAAUAAGUGUUCACAUACAUUUUUAUGUAUUUAUGCUGGCAGCUCCAUUCUGAGCUUUUUCCAGAGUCCUGCUUUGAGGGAAGUGGGUGCAGAUCUCAUUCAGAUAAUCAUUCUCCAGUAGCAUUGGCAUUACCUGCCAAAACUGAAAGUGGCAUGUGAAUCACAAGAAGCCACUCAUGGAUUUGUGAAUUUAGAGCCUGCCAAGGAAUGCCACUAUCCCAUGAGUUUUAGGGACUUGGAAUAAGUGUGAAAGUGCUCUUACUCAAAUGCCAUGUUGUUGGUGACCCCUUCUAAAAGGUCCAUAGACACAACCAAUUCAAAUGAAGGACAAACUGAAAAUAUUUCUGUUCAAAACUAUAUUUCAAGUGAGGUAAUGAAAAUGGUGAAUCUACUAAUUGGAACUAUGUCAUAGGCCCUUCCUGAGGUUCCCCUUAUUGGCAGUGCUGCUGUGACAUAAUGGUGUGGAAAUAGCUUUUGUGUGAGAAGAGCUAUCAGAUCCUCUGGGAAAUAAUCACAGAUGCUUUCCAGUUCCUUUCAGACAUGUAAAUUUAUUUAUGUUUGGACAUGAGUAAAAUGGGGUGGGAAGUGGAGCGAGGAGUAGAGUGGGGUUAAAAGCAUCCACAUAGUUCCAGGAGCCAAAUAAAUGUAGAUUUUGUGGGUUUGGAUUUGUUUGAGUUUUUUUUUUUUGUUGUUGUUGGCUUGUUUUUGUAUCCUUUUUUCUGUAUCUGAUGUUAAGUAGGACUUGGAAUGUUCAUUAUGAAGAAGAAACUCUGUGUGGAUGUGGACCCAUGGUUGAUAAAGAAGGCCAUCUUCUGCCUGAAACUACAGAUAAUCAACAGAACUCAUUGUAAUGCUUAGGUACUUCCAUUGUUCACAAGUGAUACCUACCUUAUCAUGUGAGGUUUAUUUCCAGCUUGGAGUUUGUGGUUAAUGCUAUAGACAGGAAAAAUGCUACAUGCCUCCUAAUACUUCUUCUGAUCACUUCUUCUCUUCAUGUCUUGCUUUAAGCACACCAGAAACUGAAAAUAAUGUUUGAGUUGUUUGGGUUUCUUUCUAUUUCAACAUAAAAAACCCAGGAGCCUGAGUUUUGUAAUCUAUUUGUAUGUUAAUGUUUAUGAAACAUACCAAAGAAACAUGCUUACUAGCCUGGUCUACACAUACUUGUCUCAGCAGCUUGAUGAUAUUAAAGACUUGUUUUGAGUUAACUAUGUGCCAGACAGUAUUAGCAUUAUCUAUUGUAGAUGAAAAUGGCAGUCAGCAAAUACAGCCAUGGUAGAGUGGGCUUCUGUGCAUCUUUUAAAUACAAGUGGCCAGUAUCAGUAGUACCAUAACCUUGUCUGAUGUUUCACCUCACCUGUGGAUCAGUAGAAGACUGCCGAAUGUGGCUGCUGCUUUCAGUAUAUUUCUGAAGUCUUUUGAUUGUUCUGUUCUUUGUUAGUUGGGUAUCAACCUCCCGACCUUAGACCUGUGUCUCCUCACUGCUUGAAUGUCUGUCAUGAGCAUCUGUUCCCUGAAAAGGCCGUCACAUCAUCUGUCCAUCUCCAGACGGGCUUAAGCUUCCUUCAGUCAUUCAUUGAAUGUUCCUAUUACAGGCACUGAUGCUGCACAGUACCUCAGUCCACUCAGUUUUUAUCCAAGAUGGUAACUACUUUUUGCCCCACAUCUCUGCAAAAGGACAUCCUUGGGUUCCCUAAGAAAUUAAACCACAUCCUGUAGAUUUUCUCUUAAAGCUUAAGCUCUACAGAAGAGAAGAUCAACUUGUUACAGGUGCAUCAAUGACAUCAUGACAGCCAUGGUGGAGUGGGCUUCUGUGCAUCUUUUAAAUACAAGUGGCCAGUAUCAGUAGUACCAUAACCUUGUCUGAUGUUUCACCUCACCUGUGGAUCAGUAGAAGACUGCCGAAUGUGGCUGCUGUUUUCAGUAGGUUUCUGAAUGUCUUAAUUGUUCUGUUCUUUGUUAGUUGGGUAUCAAUCUUCCACCUUAGACCUGUGUCACCUCACUGCUUGAAUGUUGCUCUUGAGCAUCUGUUCCCUGAAAAGGCCAUCACAUCAUCUGUCCAUCUCCAGACUGGCUUAAGCUUCAGCCAUUCAUUGAAUGUUUCUGUUACAGGCACUGAUGCUGCACAGUACCUCUGUCCACUCAGCUUUUAUCCAAGAUGGUAACUACUUUUUGCUCCACAUUUUUGCAGAGGCAAAAGGGACAUCUUUGGGUUACCUGAAAAAUUAAAUCACAUCCUGUAGAUUUUCUCUUAAGCUUUACAGAAGAGAAGAUCAACUUGUUACAGGUGCAUCAAUGACAUCAGACUCAUUCCUGUUUUGCCUGAAUGCUCUUUCAGUCUUCCAUCAGUCUAAAAUUACUACUUUUUCAAGGAUUGGAGGUGCAUUAAUAUUUGUAUGAAACACUUUUCCUGUACAUUGUCUGUUCUUCUCUCCUUCCCCUUGGUGUCUAGUUUGUCUUGACUGCUUUUCUUUUUGCCUAUAGUGAGGGACUGCCAGUUCAAACCAGUGAAGGGAAACCAGGUGACUGUCUACUACUACAAAUACAGGUUGUAUGUAAUAAAUUCAGGUUUUACAUCUAUGCAGAUGAAAACAUCAUAUGAUUCUGACUACAUGCAUUCUUUUUUAUUAAAUAUGGCAUCUAUUUCACAAAUUAUAUUUAACUUAAGAGUUGUGUUUCUAUUCUGAAUACCUAACUAGGAGUUACAAGGCAUGCCACUAGAGUUUACUAAAUAGUCUCAUGAAAACAGAAGAAAUAAGAGCAAAUCAUCAUUUUGGUGUUUUUUUUUUCUUGUAUUCUCAGUAUAUCCAUUAGAAAGUUUUUUCCUGCUAGAGGUGGUAAUGUGAAUGUCUCACCAUUGAACACUAUUUAGAGACAGGGUUAUUAGAAAUGCAGAGAUUUGGAAAUGUCCAGAAUCAGGAAAUUUUAAAGCAACACUUAAUUGGAGUUAGCAACACUUAAUUGGAGUUAACAACACUUAAUUGGAGUCUGGAAUUAGCACUUCCAGUUAGUAAGACCUUCUGCUCAUUUUUUUUGUCAUGGUGUGCAAGGCAAUAGUCAGAUGUCAAAGUAAACAUUUUAUUUGCACAGAAUUGUGUUUUCACCUCAGGAAUAUUGUGAAGUGAGAACAAGAUUUAACACAAUUCUUCUUUUGGGACAGGCCAGUUUUAAUGUAAAGCUGUAAACUUUGCAAUAUGAUUCCCAACCAUAGGUGCACUGUACUUUGAAUCAUCAAUCUGUCAGCUGGGCUGUGACGAGGAUUUUGUUGUGAGGGUAAAACUCAGAACUUUCAGUGUUAACUGUUCUCAGCAACUGCUGCUGGGUUGGUGGUUUUCUGUGAAUAAAAAGAUACACUGGUGAGCACAAA